AAAAUCUGUUAAAAAUCUUUGGUACAUAGAACCUAUUGAGUUUGAAGGAAAAGAUUUGGUCAGAUUAUUUUAUAAUAGAAAAUCAGGUCCUCUUGCAAACGUUCCAGAAGUAUGGCUUCAUGGUGGCUACAAUGGUUGGAAGGAAAAAUUAUCAUUUGUUAAAAGGCUUGUCAAAAUUGGUACAAAAAAUGGUGAUUGGUGGUGUGCUGAUGUUGUUGUCCCAGAGAAAGCAAUAGUCCUAGAUUGGGUUUUUGCUAAUGCUCCACCUAGAAAUGCAAGUGCGUAUGAUAACAAUAAUAAUAAAGACUUUCGUGCUCUUGUGAGUAAGGUCAUACCAGAUGAAGAGACUUGGAUUUUGGAACAAGAAAGGAUAUAUAUAAAAUUGCAAGAGCAAAGAAGGUUA
rnacentral:sRNA from 1 species